CGAUGAAUCUUCUAGCUUGCUAGAAGUGGAUUAGUGGCGCACGGGUGAGUAAUGCAUAGGUUAUGUGCCCUUUAGUCUGGGAUAGCCACUGGAAACGGUGAUUAAUACUGGAUACUCCCUACGGGGGAAAGUUUUUCGCUAAAGGAUCAGCCUAUGUCCUAUCAGCUUGUUGGUGAGGUAAUGGCUCACCAAGGCUAUGACGGGUAUCCGGCCUGAGAGGGUGAUCGGACACACUGGAACUGAGACACGGUCCAGACUCCUACGGGAGGCAGCAGUAGGGAAUAUUGCUCAAUGGGGGAAACCCUGAAGCAGCAACGCCGCGUGGAGGAUGAAGGUUUUAGGAUUGUAAACUCCUUUUGUUAGAGAAGAUUAUGACGGUAUCUAACGAAUAAGCACCGGCUAACUCCGUGCCAGCAGCCGCGGUAAUACGGAGGGUGCAAGCGUUACUCGGAAUCACUGGGCGUAAAGAGUGCGUAGGCGGGGUAAUAAGUCAGAUGUGAAAUCCUGUAGCUUAACUACAGAACUGCAUUUGAAACUGUUACUCUGGAGUGUGGGAGAGGUAGGUGGAAUUCUUGGUGUAGGGGUAAAAUCCGUAGAGAUCAAGAGGAAUACUCAUUGCGAAGGCGACCUGCUGGAACAUUACUGACGCUGAUGCACGAAAGCGUGGGGAGCAAACAGGAUUAGAUACCCUGGUAGUCCACGCCCUAAACGAAGGAUGCUAGUUGUUGCCUUGCUUGUCAGGGCAGUAAUGCAGCUAACGCAUUAAGCAUCCCGCCUGGGGAGUACGGUCGCAAGAUUAAAACUCAAAGGAAUAGACGGGGACCCGCACAAGCGGUGGAGCAUGUGGUUUAAU
rnacentral:rRNA from 1 species